rnacentral:rRNA from 1 species
UACGGAGGGUGCAAGCGUUAUCCGGAUUUACUGGGUUUAAAGGGUGUGUAGGCGGGUUUUUAAGUCAGAGGUGAAAUCCCAAGGCUCAACCUUGGAACUGCCCCUGAUACUAUUAGCCUUGAAUAUUGAUGAGGUGGGCGGAACGGGUCAUGUAGCGGUGAAAUGCUUAGAGAUGACCCGGAACACCAAUUGCGAAGGCAGCUCACUGGGCAAUUAUUGACGCUGAGGCACGAAAGCGUGGGGUAGCAAACAGGAUUAGAACUCGUAGU